rnacentral:rRNA from 1 species
AUUGAACGCUGGCGGCAGGCCUAACACAUGCAAGUCGAGCGGAGCGGCGGACGGGUGAGUAAUGCUUAUGUAUCUGCCUGGUAGUGGGGGAGAACGUCCGGUACCGGGCGCUAAUACUGCUUACUAUCAGAUGCGCCUAGGUCGGAUUAGCUAGUUGGUGGGGUAAAGGCCUACCAAGGCGACGAUCCGUAACUGGUCUGAGAGGAUGAUCAUGCACACUGGAACUGAGACACGGUCCAGACUCCUACGGGAGGCAGCAGUGGGGAAUAUUGGACAAUGGGCGAAAGCCUGAUCCAGCCAUGCCGCGUGUAUGAAGAAGGUCUUCGGAUUGUAAAGCACUUUAAGUUGGGAGGCGUUACCAACAGAAUAAGCACCGGCUAACUUCGUGCCAGCAGCCGCGGUAAUUC